AACCUCAGAACAUACAACUUGUAUUUAUUUUAACUAGGCAAAUUCUCAUUUGUUUACUUGCUUUAUAGAGCAUAACUGAUAGUGGCAAUGUGGAAGAAAAUCUCUGCAUGGUUAUAAAAAUGAGAAUUUAAAAAAAAAAUAGUUCAGAGUGUUCUUUGUGCUAUGGCUGAAGCUAACUCUUUGGUUCUGAUGGAAAUUCUGGAAAUUCAUCACAGUUGAUGCUUAUGUAGGUGGAGUGGUAAUAAACCUGCAGUUUUUAGACUUGCGUGAGUAGGUAUGUGUUGAUUUAAAAAUAAAAGAAUGACACUUUUUUUUUUCUUGUAGACAAGAGGGAACUUCUGGAAAUUGCGAAAGCCAACGCUGCAAAAGCUCUGGGCACAGAUAACAUAGUCUUGCCAGCGAGCUUGAAGAUCCUUACUCCUUCCAAAGAGAUAAAAAAUGAAAAACAGGAGCAUGAAGAUCCUGGAGAGUCAGCUGAGCAACCCAGAAGACUUGCAGAAGACGUGACCAAAAGUGGGAUGGAGAGAGCAACCAUACAGAGGAGCAUUUCUUUCA
rnacentral:lncRNA from 1 species